rnacentral:rRNA from 1 species
ACUCAAAUGAAUAGACGGGGGCCCGCACAAGCGGUGGAGCAUGUGGUUCAAUUCGACGCAACGCGAAGAACCUUACCCAGGUUUGACAUGCAUCGGACCGGUGUGGAAACACACCUUUCCUUCGGGACCGGUGCACAGGUGCUGCAUGGCUGUCGUCAGCUCGUGUCGUGAGAUGUUGGGUUAAGUCCCGCAACGAGCGCAACCCUUGCCCUUAGUUGCUAACGGGUAAAGCCGAGCACUCUAAGGGGACUGCCGACGGCAAGUCGGAGGAAGGUGGGGACGACGUCAAGUCCUCAUGGCCCUUACGCCUGGGGCUACACACGUGCUACAAUGGCCGGUACAAUGGGUCGCAAUACCGCGAGGUGGAGCUAAUCUCAAAAAGCCGGCCUCAGUUCGGAUUGCAGUCUGCAACUCGACUGCAUGAAGUUGGAAUCGCUAGUAAUCGCUGAUCAGCAGGCAGCGGUGAAUACGUUCCCGGGCCUUGUACACACCGCCCGU